GUAUCCUUUGGAAGCAUAUAUUCUAAAAAAUUGAAACAAUAAAGAGAAGAUUAGCAUGGACCUAGUGCAAGAAUGAAAUGCAAAUUCACAAAGCAUUCACAUAAAAAU